CCUACGGGGAGCAGCAGUGGGGAAUAUUGCACAAUGGGGGAAACCCUGAUGCAGCGACGCCGCGUGAGUGAAGAAGUAUCUCGGUACGUAAAGCUCUAUCAGCAGGGAAGAAAAUGACGGUAGCUGACUAAGAAGCCCCGGCUAACUACGUGCCAGCAGCCGCGGUAAUACGUAAGGGGCAAGCGUUCACCGGAUUUACUGGGUGGAACGGGAGCGUAGACGGCAGGACAAGUCUGGAGUGAAAUCCCGGGGCUUAACCCCGGAACUGCUUUGGAAACUGGGCGGCUGGAGUGCAGGAGGGGUAAGCGGAAUUCCUAGUGUAGCGGUGAAAUGCGUAGAUAUUAGGAGGAACACCGGUGGCGAAGGCGGCUUACUGGACUGUAACUGACGUUGAGGCUCGAAAGCGUGGGGAGCAAACAGGAUUAGAUACCCCGGUAGUC
rnacentral:rRNA from 1 species